CACUGGCAACUAGAAACGUGGCUAGUGAGACCAGGGAACUGAAUUUUUACUUUUAUCAGACUUCAAAUUAUGUAAAUUUAAAUAGCCACCUGUGGCUCCUGAUGACCUUAUUGGACUGCAGAGUCCUGUGGGAAUUCACCCACCCUAAAAUGCACAGACUCCAAUGGCUGAUUUUGAAGCAGAGAGCUACAACUGUGUUUGACCCGAUACCUCAUCCUGCCUUCCCAUUCAUAAUUAAUUAUGUGGCUGAUCAUUUACUCAAUAAAUGGCUCCCGAAUACCUCCUAUGAGCCAGGCACUCGCUGAGGUCUGGGAGUCAAAUAGAGUGCAUCAGAGACCUGGCCCUUACAUUUCUAAUGGGGGUACAGGAUAAAAAAAUCUGAAGAAUGCUGGCCUAAUGAUCUCACAUCAAUUUGUCUUGAAAAGCUUCACAUCGUCAUGCUUUUGUUUUUGUAAGUAAAUGUUCUCUCACAUAAUAGUGGGUGAUACAAUCUGAAUUUUUAAAGUAAAACUUACUUAAAUCAAUGUUGAUAGAUGUGGAAGAAUUUCACUAUCCUUGAAAUCUAUGUUAUGGGGGAAAAGCUAUGUAUUGAGCACUACUGUGAGUAAAGUUCUACCUUUGGAGCCUGGAUCUGUUUGGGACUUUGGAGUUUUUGCUACUCCUUACUGUUGUAGAGAGUCUUAAUCAUCUUCCCCUAAGGUAGGCCUUUGGGAUCAAGAAUUCAAAUUACUGGGUUGACUUCAGGCUGGGCUUAACUUAUAUAAAUUAUAUUGUAACACCCCUGUCUAUGCUGAAUUCAGCCUUGUGCAACAGCCAACUUUCCAACUUUCGUGCAGCAAAGGACAAGUUAGAGAGUUCUGCCUGCCAGUUUAGUUCCUCACCUCAUUUGUCUUCAUCUAAGCAGCAAUAUUUUUGCAUGUUUGCACAAAUUACUGGAAAAUGGAAAACUCAAAUUUUUAGUGCGAGUGACUACAUUGUUGAGAUAAACUUGAUGCAACUGAAAUAAAGGUGAAAUAAACAUGCCAGAAGCAAAUCAUUCACUUCACUUGGACCUUCAUUGGAUUAACUCAGGUAUCUGGGUGUUGAUUAAACAAGAAAACAAUAGAACUGUAGAAGAUGUCGUCAAAACUGUAGGGUCAGAGAGUUACCCCUAAAAGGAAACAAGUUAGUCUGCCACAGUUUCAUGAAUGCCAGCAGAAGACACAACCAUGCUGCGUCAGAGACAAAGAACCUUAGCACUGACAGCAAUGUCAGCAUUUGCUCGCUGAGCCCCGUUUUCCACAGGACAACACAAA